ACUCCGGGAGUUGCAACUUCGUUGCCUGCGAACUCCGUUGCUCUCGUGUUGCGGCUGCUGCGUCUGCUGCUGACGUCGCAGUUGCUGCUUAAGCAAGCAGAGACAGCGACCGAGGCAGUGGCAGCGGCAGAGGCAGAGACAGCGACUGAAGCAGAAGCGGCAUGGCAUGCCGUGAAAGUCCGAGUCGUGUCGAGAUCGAAGCGCCGAACGGAACGGAACGGAACUGAACGGAAGUGCAGUGCAAAGCGGAAACGGAAGUUGAGCAGCAUUCCCACUUAGUACGCACACACUCUCACACACGCAAGCACACACACACAUGUGCGGUUGGAGUUCUACUCUUAUUGUUUGUGUUUGAAGAAGAAAAAAUAAAAUAAAUUUUUUUUUUUAAUAAUUUUUUUCCUUUGAUUUUUUAACGCGCGACUCUGAGAAUUUUUUUGAUAAAUUUUUUUAAGCAGCAAGAACAACAACGUGCGGUGUUGUGAGCUUGCCACAAAAAAAAAAUAAAAGAAAAAAGA